UACGGGGGGGGCAAGCGUUGUUCGGAAUUACUGGGCGUAAAGGGCUCGUAGGUGGCCAACUAAGUCAGACGUGAAAUCCCUCGGCUUAACCGGGGAACUGCGUCUGAUACUGGAUGGCUUGAGUUCGGGAGAGGGAUGCGGAAUUCCAGGUGUAGCGGUGAAAUGCGUAGAUAUUGGGAAGAACACCGGUGGCGAAGGCGGCGACCUGGUCCGAUACUGACGCUGAGGCGCGAAAGCGUGGGGAGCAAACAGG
rnacentral:rRNA from 1 species